ACUUUUAACAAUAGAUCUCUUGGUUCUAGUAUUAAUAAAGAACGCAGCAAAAUGCAAUAAGUAGUGUAAAUUAUAGAAUUUAGUAAAUUAUUAAAUCUUUAAACGCACAUUGCGCCCCUUAGUAUUCUAUAGGGCAUGCCUAUUUAAGCGUUAUUUAUACCCUUAAGCUCUACUUAGUGUUAGGUGUUUGUUUUACUUAGGACUUGCCUUAAAACAAUUAGCAGCUAGCACAUUAGCCUAGAGCGUAGCACAUUUUACGCCUCUUGUUAUGGUUAUUAGUAUCUAUUAAGACACUUUUUAAGCUCUUAACCUUAGAUUAGGUAGGGAUACCUGCUAAACUUAAGCAUAUUAAUAAGUAGAGGAAAAGAAACUAAUAGGGAUUGCCCUAGUAAUAGCAAGUAAAGCGGCAACAGCUUAAAUUUAAAAUCUAGCUCUUUUAGGGUCUAAGUUGUAAUUUGUAGAGGGCGCUUUAGCGUUAGUAGUAGUCUAAGUUCCUUAGAAUAGGACGUUAUAGAGGGUAAGAAUCCUAUAUAUAGUUGCUAGCCUUCGCUAUAUAAAGCCCCUUUAACAAGUUAAGUUAUUUAGGAAUGCAGCUCUAAAUAGGAGGUAAAUUUCUUCUAAAGCUAAAUACUAGCUAGAGACUAAUAGCGCAUAAGUAGAGUAAUUAAAAGAUAAAAAGCACUUUAGAAAGAGAGUUAAAUAGCACGUAAAAUUGUUGAAAGGGAAGCGCUUGUAGCUAGACUUGCCUAUAGUUGCUUAUCUAGGCUUUUAUCUAGUGCACUCUUCUAUAGGCAGGCUAGUAUUAGUUUAGGCAGUUAGAUAAAGGUCUCUAUUACGUACCUCUCUUUAGGGAGGCCUUAUAGGGGAGAUAACAUGUAACUAGCCUAGACUAAGGUCCGCGCAUCUGCUAGGAUACUAGCGUAAUAGCUGUAAGCGGCCUAUCUUAAAACAUGGACUAAGGAGUCUAAUAUCUAUGCAAGUGUUUAGGUGUUAAGCCUAGACGCGUAAUAAAAGUAAACGGAGGUGGGACCCCUUUUAGGGUGCACUAUUAACUAAUCCUAAUAUCUUUAGAAGGAUUUAAGUAAGAGUAUAGCUAUUAGGACCUAAAAGAUAGUAAACUAUGCUUAAAUAGGGUAAAGCUAGAGGAAACUCUAGUAGAGGCUCGCAGCAGUUCUAACGUGCAAAUUAAUUAUUAAAUUUAGGUAUAGGGGCGAAAGACUAAUUAAACUAUCUAGUAGCUAGUUCCUACUAAAGUUUCCCUUAGGAUAGCAGUAACGUAUUUAGUUUUAUAAGGUAAAGCAAAUAAUUAGAGGCCUAGGGGUUAAAAUAACCUUUACCUAUUCUUAAACUUUAAAUAUGUAAGAAGUCCUUAUUACUUAAUUAAACGUGGACACUUAAAUAUACUAUUACUAGUAGGCUAUUUUUAGUAAGCAGAACUAGCGAUAUAGGAUAAACUAAACAUAGGGUUAAGGUGCUAGAAUGCACGCUUAUUAGACACUAUAAAAGGUGUUAGUUUAUCUAGAUAGUAGGAUAGUAGCUAUAGAAGUUAGAAUCUACUAAGGAGUGUGUAAUAACUUACCUGCUAAAUAAACUAGCCUUAAAAAUAGAUAGCGCUUAAGCGUGUUACCUAUACCCCGCCGCUAGGGCAAGAUUUAAGCCCUAGCGAGUAGGCAGGCGUAGAGGCUUGUGACAAAGCCUUAGGGGUAACCCUAGGUAGAAUAGCCUCUAGUGCAGAUCUUAGUAGUAGUAGUAAAUACUUAAAUAAGAACUUUAAGGACUAAAGUAGGGAAAGGUUCUAUAUAAAUAGUAGUUAGACACGGGUUAGUUAAUCCUAAGAGAUAGGGUAAUUCUAUUUUAAUAUUAGUGCUUGCGCCGCGCCCUUAAAAGGGAAGCUAGUUAAUAUUCUAGCACCUAGAUAUAGAUUCUCUGCGGCAACGCAACUAAGAGUAGAGACCUUAGCAGGAGCCCUAAGAAGAGUUCUCUUUUCUUCUUAACAGUCUAUUACCCUAAAAUUAGUUUGUUUAGAGCUAGGGUUUAAUAGCUAGAAGAGUGCUGCACUUUUGCGGUAUUUAGUGCGCUCCUAACAAGCCUUAAAAAUCUACUUAAAGAAAUAGUUUUUACGCUAGGUCGUACUUAUAACUAUAGUAGGUCUCUAAGGUAAAAAGCCUCUAGUUAAUAGAAUAAUAUAGAUAAGGGAAGUUAGCAAAAUAGAUCUGUAACUUUAGGAAAAGGAUUAGCUCUAAGGGUUAGGUACGUUAGGCCUUAGGGAGAAGCCUCUAGCGUAGAAGGGCACUAACUAUAAGGUAGGCGCCUCUUAGCGCUAAGGUGCAGACACCCUUAGCAGGUUUUAGCUAUCUAGCGUACGUUUAACAACUAACUUAGAACUAGUAUAGAUAAGGGGAAUCUAACUGUCUAAUUAAAAUAUAGCAUUGUAAUAGCUAGAAAGUAGUGUUAAUAUAAUGUGAUUUCUGCCUAGUACUCUAAAUAUUAAAGUAAAGAGAUUUAACUAAGCGCAGGUAAAUAGUAGGAGUAACUAUAACUCUCUUAAGGUAGCUAAAUACCUUGUUAUCUAAUUAGUAACGCGCAUAAAUAGAUUAACGAGAUUCCUACUAUCCCUAUCUACUAUCUAGCGAAACCACAGCUAAGGGAACAGGCUUAGCUAAAUUAGCCUAGAACCUUACUAGAUUAGCGUUAGUAGCCCUAUUAAAGUUAGAGUUGUUAGCUAGUGUAUUGCAAUUGUAUAGUGCGUAGGAUUAAAUCCUUUGUAGAUAACUUAGUUAUCUAGCUAGGUCGUGUAAGUAGUUAAGUAGCCUUAUUGUUACGAGCUACUAAGCGUAAGCCCGUUGCUAGCUUAGUUAAAAUUAGGAUAUUAUACCCUCCUUAUUUGCAAAACUGCUGCCUAAAUAGCUACUAUUAAUAGAAGGAAGAGGGCUAUAGCUAAUAUGUUAUAUAGCAAUUGCAAGAUAGCAAGGGCUAGAGCUAGAAGCAAUCCUUACAAAAUAUACAAAAGAACAGGUUGUGUGUGUACGUACCUUAGGCAGUUAAAUUAUAGCAUAUAAAGAUUAAGAAAGGACAUAAAAUAAUCUAUACAUAUUUGUAGGCGGUGUUCUACAACUUAGGGCGUUCUAUAACCCUUUAUUUUUUAGGGGUAGUGUUCUAUAACUUAGGGCGUUCUAUACUUAAAAAAUCUUAUAGGCUAUUCUAUAACUAUAGAUUAUUCUAAACCUUUAGGGCAUUCUAUUAAUGUUUUAAAAAAUCUAGUAGGCUAUUUUAUAAGCUUAUAGCGUUCUAUAACUUUAGGGCGUUCUAUAACUUAGGGCGUUCUAUAACCUUUUACUUCUUAGGGGUAGUGUUCUAUAACUUAGGGCGUUCUAUAACCUUUUAUUUUUUAGGGGUAGUGUUCUAUAACUUAGGGCGUUCUAUAACUUUUUAUUUUUAGGGGUAGUGUUCUAUAACUUAGGGCGUUCUAUAACCUUUUAUUUUUUAGGGGUAGUGUUCUAUAACUUAGGGCGUUCUAUAACUUUUUAUUUUUAGGGGUAGUGUUCUAUAACUUAGGGCGUUCUAUACCUUUUGUUUAUUCUAUUACUUUAUUGCUUUCUAUAACUUUAGACUAUUCUAUAAUAGUAGCUAUUAUAUCCUUUUUAUAAUCCUUAUAGUAUUAUACUAUUAUCUAUUAUUCUUUACUCUUAAGUAUAUCCUUAUAUUUUAUAAAUCUUUUUCUUUACUAGCUAGUCCUACUAUACUUUUUUAUAACCUACUAGUAUUAAAUAAUACCUUUAUAUUCUUCCUCUAUACUAUCUCUAUUUCUUGCCUUAUAUAUUAAGUAGAUAUAGAUAGAGCUAAUAGAUCUAUAGUUAAUAUAGAUAAAGUAGUUAUAGUAGAGUACAGAUAUUAGAGUAGAGAUCCUUAUCUAUAUAUUUACCUACUACUAAUAGAAUUCUAAGUUGCUCUUAUCUAGCGAAUACAGGUUUAUAGUUUGUAUAGGGCUACGCAUGUCUACACGGUUUUAUAUACAAAAAAGUGUACCUCUAAGCUAUUUUCUACCACACUAACCCCGCAACGCAAAAAUUAAACUAAAACCCGUUCCUAUAAUAUAUAAGGAGGGCAAAUAGAUUCUUAAAUACUAAAUACCUAACUAAGUAACUAAGGUUAAAUCUACUACGCGCAGUUCUUAGAUUAGGCAGUUAAACUAGCGUUAUUAGGCACUAAGGGGGCAAUUUUUGCUUGUGUCCGCGUCUAUGCUCCCUAUAACUCCCUAUUAUUAGCGCUCUGCGCCUAUUUUAGUGGUAGUUAGACUAAAUUUAAAAGUUUUAGUUUUAUAAUAGCUAGCCUUGUUUCCUAGAUUUCUGCCUGGUUUAGAUUCGCUCUAAUUAGUAGGUAAUUAGGGGCUUAGAGAUUGCUCUUCUACUUAACUAGGCAGGCCUAGGCCUAUAUGCUAAAGCAACCCUGCUAUUGCGCCUAGUUUUGUGGUUAGCACCUAAAGUCCUACUGUUAAAGUUUUAGUAGUAGGCAAAAUUUAGGGUCUAUAGAUAGCUAGCACUACUAAACUAUUUAAUAGAUCUUAGGGGACAGCCCUGCCUAGCAUCUGCUCCUAGUAAGCGUAGCAAAGCGUAGGUUUUCUCUACUUAAGGCAUAUAUGUGGCGAGUUUAAACACGUAGAAACGCCUAUUAGGCUUUGUUAUAGACUAUUCCUUAAGAAACUUAGUAGGGGCAAUUAAAUUAGUUACUAGUUAUAACUAGUGCCUUGUGUGCUAUUAUGCUAGUAGCUAGAAUUGCUUCUGCGAUUUCUUAUUACGUACUUUCUGCCUCCUUUUAGGGGUAGUGCUUAUGCGCUUUGGCGUAUUAGGUAUUAGGAUUAUUACCUAGUUAAUUCUACUAGUAGUUAUAUACUUGU
rnacentral:rRNA from 1 species